AUUGAACGCUGGCGGCAUGCCUUACACAUGCAAGUCGAACGGUAACGGGCCUUCGGGUGCCGACGAGUGGCGAACGGGUGAGUAAUACUUCGGAACGUGCCCGAUCGUGGGGGAUAACGAGGCGAAAGCUUUGCUAAUACCGCAUACGAUCUACGGAUGAAAGCAGGGGACCGCAAGGCCUUGCGCGGACGGAGCGGCCGAUGGCAGAUUAGGUAGUUGGUGGGAUAAAAGCUUACCAAGCCGACGAUCUGUAGCUGGUCUGAGAGGAUGAUCAGCCACACUGGGACUGAGACACGGCCCAGACUCCUACGGGAGGCAGCAGUGGGGAAUUUUGGACAAUGGGCGCAAGCCUGAUCCAGCCAUGCCGCGUGCAGGAUGAAGGCCUUCGGGUUGUAAACUGCUUUUGUACGGAACGAAAAGCCUUCUUUUAAUACAGGAGGGUCAUGACGGUACCGUAAGAAUAAACACCGGCUAACUACGU
rnacentral:rRNA from 1 species